GACAUGUAUGCUGUGUCAGGAGCCACGUACCAGCAGAGCCUUUCGGGCUUCGCCUUUGUUGCAUCCGCUUGUAUUGACACCCGGGAACAACUCGGCGAGGACACGGCAUACUCUUACAGAAUGAUUCGCAUCGCCGCUCAUGAAGUGGCGCACACGCUGGGAUGCCCUCACGAUGGCACAAGUAUUGAGGGCCACAUUAAAGUAUUUCGGCCAGACGCUGGCAAUUGCCCAUGGGAUCAAGGAUACAUAAUGAGCUACCUCGAAGAAAAUGGCAACAGCAUGAAGUUCUCUAGUUGCUGCAACUACCAGAUGUCCCUUUUG